UGUUAUAUUUUAUUUAUUUAUUUAUUUUCGUUUUUUUUUUCGUUUUUUCGUUUUUUCGUUUUUUUUUUAAAUUUUAAACACGUGGGCGUCGCCUAGCGAGUAUGACAGUUCAAGAAAUUCCUCUGAGCGUAGGUGAUUCUGGUGGCUUUUCUUGGGACUCGCUAGGCGACCCAUUCUGCUCGCCUAGCGAGCAUGACAACUCAUGAAC
rnacentral:lncRNA from 1 species